rnacentral:tRNA from 1 species
CGGGGCGUAGCGCAGCUUGGUUAGCGCGCCUGGUUUGGGACCAGGAGGUCCCGGGUUCGAAUCCCGGCGCCCCGA